rnacentral:rRNA from 1 species
AAUCAACGCUGGCGGCGUGCCUAACACAUGCAAGUCGAACGCGAAAGCCCCUUCGGGGGUAAGUAGAGUGGCGUCCGGGUGAGUAACACGUAGGUAAUCUACCUUCGGGUGGGGAAUAACCAGUCGAAAGAUUGGCUAAUACCGCAUAAUGCAGCGGCACCUAAUGGUGAUUAGUUGUUAAAGCGGGGGAUCGUAAGACCUCGCGCCUGAAGAGGAGCCUGCGGCAGAUUAGCUAGUUGGGAGGUAAUGGCUCACCAAGGCUUCGAUCUGUAGCUGGUCUGAGAGGACGGCCAGCCACACUGGCACUGACACACGGGCCAGACUCCUACGGGAGGCAGCAGUGGGGAAUUUUGGGCAAUGGGCGAAAGCCUGACCCAGCAACGCCGCGUGAGGGAGGAAAUCCUUCGGGAUGUAAACCUCACAAGCAAGGGAAGAGAGCUCAGGGCCGAAUAAGCUUUGAGUCCGACGGUACCUUGCGUAAGCCACGGCUAACUACGUGCCAGCCGCC